rnacentral:rRNA from 1 species
GAUGAACGCUGGCGGCGUGCCUAAUACAUGCAAGUCGAGCGAACGGACGAGAAGCUUGCUUCUCUGAUGUUAGCGGCGGACGGGUGAGUAACACGUGGAUAACCUACCUAUAAGACUGGGAUAACUUCGGGAAACCGGAGCUAAUACCGGAUGAUAUUUUGAACCGCAUGGUUCAAUAGUGAAAGACGGUCUUGCUGUCACUUAUAGAUGGAUCCGCGCUGCAUUAGCUAGUUGGUAAGGUAAUGGCUUACCAAGGCAACGAUGCAUAGCCGACCUGAGAGGGUGAACGGCCAAACUGGAACCGAGACCCGGUCCAAGCUCCUAAGGGAAGCAGCAGUAGGGAAACUUCCGGAAAGGGCGGAAACCUGACGGAGCAACGCCGCGGGAGUGAUGAAGGUCUUCGGAUCGUAAAACUCUGUUAUUAGGGAAGAACAAAUGUUUAAGUAACCGAGCACAUCUUGACGGUACCUAAUCAGAAAGCCACGGCUAACUACGUG